CUCUGUGCUGGGCCUAGGGCUAAGCUCUGAUUUUCCCUGCAGAUGGCGGUGCUGGAGAUCCAGUCCAAUGGGGACAGCCGAGUCUCAGAGGAGGCGAUUGCUCGGGCAAGGCACUCCUUGGAUGAUCCCAACAUGCGGGACUUCAUUCUGGGGUGCCUGCUCCUCAACCCGGACAAGCGGCCGACAGCCCAUAACCUGCUCUUCCACCAGGUGCUCUUUGAGGUCCACUCCCUCAAACUGCUGGCAGCGCACUGCUUCAUCAACAACCAGUACCUGAUGCCAGAGAACGUGGUGGAGGAGAAUACGAAGUGGCUGGACCUGAACAUGGUGAUGGCGGAGAUCCGGCUAGAGGGGCGGCCUGCAGUGCAGUGGAGAUACUCGGAAGUCUCCUUCCUGGAGCUUGACAAGUUCCUGGAGGAUGUCAGGAAUGGGAUCUAUCCCCUGAUGAACUUCGCUGCCACCAGGCCCCAGCUGCUCCCGCGUGCGCUCUCCCAGCCUCAGGAGGACCCCCAGAAAGCCAAGACCCCCACCCCGGAGCCCUUCGAUGUGGAGACGAGGAAGGUGGUCCAGAUGCAGUGUAGCAUGGAGAUGAAUGAAGAGAAAGCCCAGUGGCAUCUCACGCUCUUGCUAACCCUGGAGGACAAGCUGCACCGACAGUUGAGCUACGACCUGCUGCCAACUGACAGUUCCAAGGGCUUGGCCUCAGAGCUGGUGCACUACGGAUUCAUCCAUGAGGAGAAUGUUACCAGGAGGCUCCUGGCAAUCCAAUGACCUCUCUACAGCAUCAGUUGCUCUGCUUACCUUACCUUUGUCUCUCUGGAUCUCCACAGCCCUGUACAUCUGCAGUCAUGCUCACCAGGUCUUCUCUUCGCUAAGGAUGACUGUGAAAUGCUGGCCAACUUCCUAGAAAAUGCUUUUCACAAGCACCGGUCUCCUCCCUUGUGAGUCACCCCGAUAAGUUCUGGGCAGACAGGUGCCCCCAAAAGAGGAUGGGAACUGUGCCAGGCCAGAAGGAACUGUAGGGCUCUUUGAUCAGGCUUUCCACUGCAGAGGUGACCUUGCUAUUUGUUCCUGUCUGUAUCUCUACUGUCCAUCCAGUGUGAUUCAGAAUGAAAAUGGCAAGAAGAGAAAGGACCAGCAAACAUGAGGCAUUACCAAGAACCUGCCAAGAAUGUGCUCUCUAGUCUCCACUUCUGAAGGAGGCUAUGGUGAGCGGUGAGGUGGUUUUAGGAGUGGAGGAUCAUGCAGGUUGGUAGGGUUUUUGAAGAUGCAAGAGCCCACAUUUGGUAAAUUUACCUCUGGGAGCAAAAAGCACCUUCCCUGUGGGUAUUGGGGGCCAUCACUUUGCUUCCUCAGCUGGAAGUGGUCACAGCAGGGGGUGAAAGAGUGGGGGGAAGUGUAGGUUUGGGAGGAUCUUGAGCAGUUUCCUGUCUGCCAUAUUCCACCCCUUUUCCAGACCUGAUUCCUCCUGCUCUGCUGGAUUCCCCCAGGGCAAAGGAGCCAUUGCGAUGCCUUAUAAUAAGAACUGGACUCCCUCUGCUAGGCUGAGGAGAGGACAUUGUGAGCUUGACUGAAAGGGCAUGGGAAGAAAUUGCAGGAAUCCAGAACCAUCAGGUGGUUCAUAAAAUAUGGACCCACAGAACCAUUACUGAUGCUGAACACAGCCUGUGUCAUUUCAGUUAGUGAAUUUUUGGAAGGCUAAAAGACAAAGUCCUAGGGAAAAGCCUUGAUGUCUCUUCUCUGUUCUCCUGUGAAAUGUGGAAUUUCCAUCAUUAGACGGGAGAAUGGGGGCAAAUAUAGCUGCUGAUUUGUCAGGUUCAAGAUUGGUGUAUUAUGCAAAUAGGAAUUGUGUAUCAGCCGCUGUGCCAUGCUGCUCUGCCUGAACAUUGCUGCUCUGGGUGUACUGUUCACACUAUGCCAUAUGAGCCAUACUGCACUGACUGUAUCAUGCUAUGCUGACUUUCUUACACUGUGCCUGAUUCCCUGUCCAGUACUGUCUGUGUAUGCUUUGCAACGCAGCACAGACUUCAUCAUAGUAUGCUGGGUUUGCCAUGCUAAGCUGCUUUGCCAAGCUGUCUUGGCUGUUUAAUUACGUGGGUUUUCCAAGUUGUGCUAACUUUGCAGAUACAGACAUUUCAAUGAGUCAACUGAAAAGAACAAACCACAUCACAAAA